UACGUAGGGUGCGAGCGUUAAUCGGAAUUACUGGGCGUAAAGCGUGCGCAGGCGGCUCUUUAAGUCAGAUGUGAAAGCCCCGGGCUUAACCUGGGAACUGCGUUUGAAACUGGAGAGCUGGAGUGUGGCAGAGGAAGGUGGAAUUCCUGGUGUAGCAGUGAAAUGCGUAGAGAUCAGGAGGAACACCGAUGGCGAAGGCAGCCUUCUGGGCCAACACUGACGCUCAUGCACGAAAGCGUGGGGAGCAAACAGG
rnacentral:rRNA from 1 species